rnacentral:rRNA from 1 species
GGAGCCGUAGCGAAAGCGAGUUUUAACUGAGCGUUCAGUUACUUGACGUAGACCCGAAACCGGGCGACCUACCCAUGAGCAGGAUGAAGCGAAAGUAAAAUUUCGUGGAGGUCCGAACCCACGAGCGUUGAAAAGCUCGGGGAUGACUUGUGGGUAGCGGUGAAAUUCCAAUCGAGCCCGGAGAUAGCUGGUUCUCCCCGAAAUAGCUUUAGGGCUAGCCUCAAGGUGAGAGAUACGGAGGUAGAGCACUGAAUGUCCUAGGGGGUAUUGCACCUACCGAAGACUAUCAAACUCCGAAUGCCGUCAUCUUAUACUUGGGAGUCAGACUGUGGGUGAUAAGAUUCAUAGUCGAAAGGGCAACAGCCCAGAUCGUCAGCUAAGGUCCCUAAAUGUAAGUUAAGUGGUAAAGGAUGUGGGAUUGCACAGACAACCAGGAUGUUGGCUUAGAAGCAGCCACUCAUUCAAAGAGUGCGUAAUAGCUCACUGGUCGAGUGAUCCUGCGCCGAAGAUUUCCGGGGCUAAAACUUACUACCGAAGCUACGGCAUCAGUAAUGAUGGGUAGGGGAGCUUCCCAUACGGGUUGAAGCAUGACCGUAAGGACAUGUGGACAGUAUGGGAGUGAGAAUGUUGGCAUGAGUAGCGAGAUGUGGGUGAGAAUCCCACAGGCCGUAAACCCAAGGUUUCCAGGGGAAGGUUCGUCCGCCCUGGGUUAGUCGGGACCUAAGCUGAGGCCGAAAGGCGUAGGUGAUGGACAACAGGUUGAUAUUCCUGUACUACCGAUAACCGUUUGAGAGAAGGGAUGACACAGUAGGAUAAGCUAAGCACACUG